rnacentral:rRNA from 1 species
UACGGAGGGUGCAAGCGUUAUCCGGAUUCACUGGGCUUAAAGGGUGCGUAGGCGGACAUGUAAGUCCGUGGUGAAAUCUCUAAGCUUAACUUGGAAACUGCCAUGGAUACUAUAUGUCUUGAAUGUUGUGGAGGUUAGCGGAAUAUGUCAUGUAGCGGUGAAAUGCAUAGAUAUGACAUAGAACACCAAUUGCGAAGGCAGCUGGCUACACAAAUAUUGACGCUGAGGCACGAAAGCGUGGGGAUCAAACAGG